CAGAGGUGGGAAUCGAACCCCAACCCUGGAGGUGUGAGGCGAACGUGCUAACCACUAAGCCACCGUGCCCCCCCUUACUAAGCACAUUUUUAAUUUUAAUUGAGUAAAAAACUCCAAUAUACGUAAGUCAUAAUGAUAUCUGAAAUCAGUCGAGCUACAGAAAAUCAGUUGAGAAGUUGCAUAAGUCUGUUCAUAUAACGUUUACAUUUUGCUGGCGAAUCUUUAAAUUCACUUGUUUUUUGAAACAGACAAGAGACAGUAAAAUUAACACUGAGAAGCCAUUUAGGAAAUCUUAUUUUUAUUGUUCUCGGUUUCAAUAAACGUGACACUCUCUGUUGUUGGGAUGGAAGGGAGAACCAAUGAAGAACAUGUUGGGGCAAAAUAUAUGUUUGGAGCAACAAAACAUAUGUUUGAAGCAAAAACAAGACAGCUUAUAACCCAAAGGGCCCCAAAUCCCCAGGGUGAAGCGUGGUGGUGGUGGCAGCAUCAUGCGAUUCACUCAGUCUGCAGUACAGUGGUUUUAUACUUUGAGGAGAUGGAAGACUGGCUGUCUUAAAAUGAUGGGCAAAGAACUACCUCUUCUUGAAACACGUAAAUUAGCACAUAUUUUCCCCAUUUGGGGAAAAAAGAACAGUCUUUUAGCUUAUCCGAACUACCUCGGGUCACGGGGAGCCUGUGCCUAUCUCAGGCGUCAUCGGGC